AACGUUCGGAAAGUAACGCUAAUACCGCAUACGCCUACGGGNGAAAGCAGGGGACCUUCGGGCCUUGCGCUAUCAGAUGAGCCUAGGUCGGAUUAGCUAGUUGGUGAGGUAAUGGCUCACCAAGGCGACGAUCCGUAACUGGUCUGAGAGGAUGAUCAGUCACACUGGAACUGAGACACGGUCCAGACUCCUACGGGAGGCAGCAGCC
rnacentral:rRNA from 1 species